GGGGAUUUAGCUCAGCGGCAUAAGCGCCUGCCUUGCAAGCAGGCAGUCGUAAGUUCGAUCCCCG
rfam:Cavia porcellus supercont2_10 genomic scaffold, whole genome shotgun sequence.